rnacentral:tRNA from 1 species
GACAGGAUGGCCGAGUGGUUAAGGCGACAGUUUUGAAUUUGUCUUCAUCUCCAGAGCUUCUCAACAUGAUGAGCUACAACUUUCCAGCUGUUUCACUUUGUGAGCGUGAGUUCAAACCUCACUCCUGUCG